rnacentral:rRNA from 1 species
GACGAACGCUGGCGGCGUGCUUAACACAUGCAAGUCGAACGGAAAGGCCCUGCUCUUGUGGGGUGCUCGAGUGGCGAACGGGUGAGUAACACGUGAGUAACCUGCCCUUGACUUUGGGGUAACUUCUGGAGACUCGGGCUACUACCGGAUAGGAGCUCCUGCUCCAUGGUGGUGGUUGGAAAGUUUCGGCGGUUGGGGCUGGACUCGCGGCUUAUCGGCUUGUUGGUGGGGUAGUGGCUUACCAAGGCUUUGACGGGUAGCCGGCCUGGGAGGGGGGCCGGCGACAUGGGGACUAAGAGACGGCCCAGACGCGUACGGGCGGCAACGGUGGGGAAUCUGGCACAGUGGGGGGAAGCCUGUGGCGGCAACGCCGGGGGCGGAAUACCGGCCUUCGGGGGGAAAACCGCUGUCGACUGUGACGAAGAGUGAGUGACGGUAAUGGGUAAAGAAGCACCGGCUAACUACGUG